GAGUUUGAUCGUGGCUCAGAUUGAACGCUGGCGGCAGGCCUAACACAUGCAAGUCGAGCGGAUGACGGGAGCUUGCUCCUUGAUUCAGCGGCGGACGGGUGAGUAAUGCCUAGGAAUCUGCCUGGUAGUGGGGGGACAACGUUUCGAAAGGAACGCUAAUACCGCAUACGUCCUACGGGAGAAAGCAGGGGACCUUCGGGCCUUGCGCUAUCAGAUGAGCCUAGGUCGGAUUAGCUAGUUGGUGGGGUAAUGGCUCACCAAGGCGACGAUCCGUAACUGGUCUGAGAGGAUGAUCAGUCACACUGGAACUGAGACACGGUCCAGACUCCUACGGGAGGCAGCAGUGGGGAAUAUUGGACAAUGGGCGAAAGCCUGAUCCAGCCAUGCCGCGUGUGUGAAGAAGGUCUUCGGAUUGUAAAGCACUUUAAGUUGGGAGGAAGGGCAGUAAGUUAAUACCUUGCUGUUUUGACGUUACCGACAGAAUAAGCACCGGCUAACUCUGUGCCAGCAGCCG
rnacentral:rRNA from 1 species